rnacentral:rRNA from 1 species
UAGCGGCGGACGGGUGAGUAACACGUGGGUAACCUGCCUGUAAGACUGGGAUAACUCCGGGAAACCGGGGCUAAUACCGGAUGCUUGUUUGAACCGCAUGGUUCAAACAUAAAAGGUGGCUUCGGCUACCACUUACAGAUGGACCCGCGGCGCAUUAGCUAGUUGGUGAGGUAAUGGCUCACCAAGGCGACGAUGCGUAGCCGACCUGAGAGGGUGAUCGGCCACACUGGGACUGAGACACGGCCCAGACUCCUACGGGAGGCAGCAGUAGGGAAUCUUCCGCAAUGGACGAAAGUCUGACGGAGCAACGCCGCGUGAGUGAUGAAGGUUUUCGGAUCGUAAAGCUCUGUUGUUAGGGAAGAACAAGUACCGUUCGAAUAGGGCGGUACCUUGACGGUACCUAACCAGAAAGCCACGGCUAACUACGUGCCAGCAGCCGCGGUAAUACGUAGGUGGCAAGCGUUGUCCGGAAUUAUUGGGCGUAAAGGGCUCGCAGGCGGUUUCUUAAGUCUGAUGUGAAAGCCCCCGGCUCAACCGGGGAGGGUCAUUGGAAACUGGGGAACUUGAGUGCAGAAGAGGAGAGUGGAAUUCCACGUGUAGCGGUGAAAUGCGUAGAGAUGUGGAGGAACACCAGUGGCGAAGGCGACUCUCUGGU